UGCUUUUUGAAAAUAUAAAAAGUAUUGCCUGCCCAAUGAUAUUUUAAUGGCCGCAGUAUUUUGACUGUGCAAAGGUAGCAUAAUCAUUUGCUUUAUAAAUUAAAGCUUGUAUGAAUGGUUUAAUGUAAAUAUAACUGUCUUUAUAUAUAAAUAAAAUUUAUCUUUUCAGUGCAGAGACUGAAAAAUUUUAGAAAGACGAGAAGACCCUAAUGAGUUUUAUAUAUAAUGUUUAUAUAAAUAUUAAUAUAUUUUAUUGGGGCGAUUAAAGAAUAUAUCUUCUUUUUUAAAAAAAUAAUAAUUUUUAUUGAUUCAUCACUGAUGAUAAAAAGUUUAAAUUACCAUAGGGAUAACAGCAUAAUCUUUUUUAAGAGUACAGAUCGACAAAAUGGAUUGUGACCUCGAUGUUGGAUUAAGAGAAUUUCAUAGUGUAGAAUCUAUGUAAAUAAGUCUGUUCGACUUUUUUAUUCUUACA
rnacentral:rRNA from 1 species